ACUUGUUCUUUAAAUAAGGACUAGUAUGAAAGGCACCACGAGAGUCAUACUGUCUCCUUUCUCUAAUCAGUGAAACUAAUCUCCCCGUGAAGAAGCGGGGAUAAAAAUAUAAGACGAGAAGACCCUAUGGAGCUUUAAACAAGUAACACUUGCCUACCAAAUUUCCAAUUUCAGAAAAAUUUUCUACCCCGGCAUCAUGAUUAUUAGUUUUCGGUUGGGGUGACCACGGAAUAAAAACCAACCUCCGCAAUGAAAGACACUCAUCUACUUAGUUAAGGGCCACAACCCCACACAUCAACAAAUUGACACUAAUUGACCCAACAUGUUGAUCAAUGAACCAAGUUACCCUAGGGAUAACAGCGCAAUCCACUUCAAGAGCUCCUAUCGACAAGUGG
rnacentral:rRNA from 1 species